rnacentral:rRNA from 1 species
UUUGAUGGCGACCGGCGCACGGGUGAGUAACACGUAUCCAACCUGCCGAUGACUCGGGGAUAGCCUUUCGAAAGAAAGAUUAAUACCCGAUGGCAUAGUUCUUCCGCAUGGUAGAACUAUUAAAGAAUUUCGGUCAUCGAUGGGGAUGCGUUCCAUUAGGUUGUUGGCGGGGUAACGGCCCACCAAGCCUUCGAUGGAUAGGGGUUCUGAGAGGAAGGUCCCCCACAUUGGUACUGAGACACGGACCAA